CUUUGGGUCAUCACACUCCAGUUGUCAUAAUACAGAAAUUAUGAACAGUAAAGAGGACAAUAUACUACCUUGUUAUUUUUUGUGCCAGGGCCACAAGGGAUGCAAGCUUGAUUGCCAUAAGGUUGGUGAGCUUUCAGGUAAGUGUUUGAU